GUUGGGUGCUGUGUGCACACCUGUAAUCCUAGCGGCUUGGGAGGCUGAGGCAGGAGGAUUGUGAGUUCAAAGCCAGCCUCAGGAAAAGUGAGGCACUAAGCAACUCAGUGAGACCCUGUCUCUA
rnacentral:sRNA from 1 species